AUUGAACGCUGGCGGCAUGCCUUACACAUGCAAGUCGAACGGCAGCACGGGGGCUUGCUCCUGGUGGCGAGUGGCGAACGGGUGAGUAAUACAUCGGAACGUACCCUGAAGUGGGGGAUAACGUAGCGAAAGUUACGCUAAUACCGCAUAUUCUGUGAGCAGGAAAGAGGGGGAUCGCAAGACCUCUUGCUUUAGGAGCGGCCGAUGUCGGAUUAGCUAGUUGGUGAGGUAAAGGCUCACCAAGGCGACGAUCCGUAGCGGGUCUGAGAGGAUGAUCCGCCACACUGGGACUGAGACACGGCCCAGACUCCUACGGGAGGCAGCAGUGGGGAAUUUUGGACAAUGGGCGCAAGCCUGAUCCAGCCAUGCCGCGUGAGUGAAGAAGGCC
rnacentral:rRNA from 1 species